UUAGAAGCCCUAUAAAUAACCAUGUAUUCCUUCUCUUUUCUUAAGCAAUAGAUGAAUCUUUUCUGCAGCCUUUGAGCAGCAACUUGGAGGGAGGAACCCCUAUAGAGUUCCAAGAAGGCCGAUCCCCUAAAGAGAUCAACCCCAAGUUUAGAAUCUGCAAGGGUUCUAUCACCUGGUAUCAGAGCAGCGUUCUUGGCAUCUCGCUGCCCUUCCACUGCCAUCCAUCAACCCUCAACAACCACCCAAAGCAAUUCCCACAAUUGCUUAAGAGAUCAUUGCCAAAUUCCACCAUCAUCUCCACCACCGCAGAUCAUCCUUUGAUCUCCCUGUGAAUUGCAACAGGUUAUGGUUUCCUACCUUACUGCUGCUGCAAUUUAGUUAUCCAUAUUCGAAAAUCCAAAAAAAAAAAAAAAAAUUUCGUUCCUAUAUUGCUGCAAAUUUCAUCGUAAGUUGCUGAAAUUUUUCGACGAGAAUUCUGCUAUCGCAACUUACACCAAUUUUCUUGCUGUUACUGCCAAAAUUUUCUUGAUUAAAUUGGACAUCCUUGCUGUCAUAUAAACUGAGAUAUU
rnacentral:lncRNA from 1 species